rnacentral:rRNA from 1 species
CCMCGAAGAGUUUGYAACACCCGAAGUCGGUGAGGUAYCCUUUAUGGAGCCAGCCGCCGAAGGUGGGRCAGAUGAUUGGGGUGAAGUCGUAACAAGGUAGCCGUAUCGGAAGGUGCGGCUGGAUCACCUCCUUUCUAAGGAUAU